rnacentral:rRNA from 1 species
UACGUAGGUUGCGAGCGUUGUCCGGAAUUACUGGGCGUAAAGGGUGCGUAGGCGGCUCCUUAAGUGAGGUGUGAAAUCCCUGGGCUCAACCCAGGAACUGCACUUCAAACUGGGGAGCUAGAGUGCAGGAGAGGAAAGCGGAAUUCCCGGUGUAGCGGUGAAAUGCGUAGAGAUCGGGAGGAACCCCAGUGGCGAAGGCGGCUUUCUGGUCUGUAACUGACGCUGAGGAACGAAAGCGUGCGUAGCAAACAGG